rnacentral:rRNA from 1 species
UACGAAGGGGGCUAGCGUUGUUCGGAAUUAUUGGGCGUAAAGCGCGUGUAGGCGGCUUGGCAAGUCGGGUGUGAAAGCCCUCGGCUCAACUGAGGAAGUGCGCCCGAAACUGCUUUGCUUGAGUGCUGGAGAGGGUCGCGGAAUUCCCCAAGUAGAGGUGAAAUUCGUAGAUAUGGGGAGGAACACCGGUGGCGAAGGCGGGUCUCUGGGCAGUAACUGACGCUGAGGAGCGAAAGCGUGGGGAGCGAACAGG